CUGGUCCUACGGGACGCAGCAGUAGGGAAUCUUCCACAAUGGACGAAAGUCUGAUGGAGCAACGCCGCGUGAUCGAAUGAAGGCCUUCGGGUUGUAAAGAUCUGUUGACAGGGACGAAUAAGCAAUGCGAAUAGUUUUGUGUAUGACGGUACCUGUUUAGAAAGCUCCGGCUAACUACGUGCCAGCAGCCGCGGUAAUACGUAGGGAGCAAGCGUUGUCCGGAAUUACUGGGCGUAAAGGGCGCGUAGGUGGGCGCUUAAGUCAGGUGUGAAAACUCCGGGCUCAACCUGGAGACUGCACUUGAA
rnacentral:rRNA from 1 species